rnacentral:rRNA from 1 species
CCUACGGGAGGCUGCAGUGAGGAAUAUUGGUCAAUGGACGAGAGUCUGAACCAGCCAAGUAGCGUGAAGGAUGACUGCCCUAUGGGUUGUAAACUUCUUUUAUAUGGGAAUAAAACGUUCCACGUGUGGGAUUUUGUAUGUACCGUAUGAAUAAGGAUCGGCUAAUUCCGUGCCAGCAGCCGCGGUAAUACGGAGGAUCCGAGAGUUAUCCGGAUUUAUUGGGUUUAAAGGGAGCGUAGGUGGGUUGUUAAGCCAGUUGUGAAAGUUUGAGGCUCAACCGUAAAAUUGCAGUUGAAACUGGAAGUCUUGAGUACAGUAGAGGUGGGCGGAAUUCGUGGUGUAGCGGUGAAAUGCUUAGAUAUCACGAAGAACUCCGAUUGCGAAGGCAGUUCACUGGACUGCAACUGACACUGAGGCUCGAAAGUGUGGGUAUCAAACAGGAUUAGAUACCCUUGUAGUC